CGCCGGAGGCCAGUCGAAAUUUCAGGUUAGUUCCAAAAUUUCAGUGUCCAAAUUCCAAGUGAUAAACCUCAAUAGAAAUAAGAAAAAAUAAAGACCCCGAAGUAAAUUCUCAGUUCCUCCGCGUUCCUGGAACUUGUUGUUCCGUCGGCGUGGGACCCCUUAAACGGAGUUAAUUGGUUCGCGGCUGUGAAUAGAGCGCCGUGAACGGGAAAUCGUCGAGAGAGACAGAAAAAAUGCAUUAAAGGAACCCGGGUUCCGUCGAGAGGUUAUAUUUCCAGUCAAUUAUCGCCCGCGCCAAUUUUACAACGGAAAAAAUUAAUCUUUCUCGGUGAACGUGCACCCCGACGCCCUGCCCCGCUAUCGGAGGAAGAUGACGUCAUGACGUCAUUCACUGCAACUUGACGCUAUUAUCAUUCUCGCCGGAUAGCAGGUUGUAAUCGCUGCAGCGGGAGCAGGCGAUGGUGAAGCUUCCUUUCAACCUAAAAAGUCACACAGGUCGACCAUGCAAAUGACGUUGAUAGAGGACGAGUGAGGCGACAGAAAAUCUUGAAUGUCGCAACCGCACCGGUGUCAAGGGAUGUGCGGGGGCGGGCGGGCCCUGACCUGCGGUUGCUUCGGGGUCCCGCAGACGGACUCGGUGGACUUCUGCCAGGGGCAGGAGCCGCAGUUCCCGCGAGAGGCGUGCGCGCGCAUAGCCGGCGGCGCCUGCGCCUGCAACAAGCAGCGGCAACAACAGACCGGCUGCAACAACCAACGGCAACAACAGACCAGGUGCUGUCCGCAACAAACGCAGUGCAAGCGGGCGAAAGAGUGCAUCGUCUGCUACAUCCCGCAGGACGGGGCCGGACAGAACUGCUGUCGCUGUCAGCCGCGCAGGGCGUCGUGCCAGCAGCCCCAGCUCCAGGCCUGCCCGUCGCAGGCCUGCGUCCAGCCAUGUCAGCCGAAGCCCCGCUCCAACUCCUGUUGCUCUCGGAAGCCUCUGCUCGAGUGCAUCAAGUUCCCCAACGGCCCCGGCUGCAUGCCCAUGACCUGCGAGGCCCUGCCCAACUGCCCCAACAAGUUCAUCUGCCGCCCGCUCGAGCAGACCCCGUGUCAGCAGCGCGAGCGACGCCAGGAGCCGUGUCAGAGGCAGGAGCCGUGUCAGACGCAGGCGCAGUCCUUCAUAUUCCAGCCGUGUCCGUCCAACCACAAGAGCGGCUGUAAGACGGGCUGCAAGCCCGCGUCCGCGAAACCGCUCAAACUCAUGUGUAAGAUCACGCCCAUCCCCGCGCCGAGCCCGACCGCGCCGGCUGCCGAGCCCAAGGACCUCUUCGGGAGCGCCAGACCCACGGAAGAGGCCAAGGAGGACACUUGGAGUGAGUUCAGGAGAAACCUAAACUAACAUUCAAACGAUGCGACGGAGGCGAAUUGUCCGAUCAGCGUGAUGGCUGACCUCCACGGUCCUCCGUCGCUGAUCUCCACGGAGCUUCUGGUGGCUGGUUCAAGACCCGCACGUAAGAGGCCAAAAAAGACACUUGAAGUGAAUUCAGAAGGAACCUUGACUAACAUUCAAACGAUGCGACAGAGGCGGAUCGUCCAAUCAGCGUUAUGGCUUGACCUCCACGCUAUCCUCCAUCGCAGAUCUCCACGGAGCUUCUGGUGGCUGGUUCAAGACCCACGGAAUAGGCCAAGGAAGACACUUGGAGUGAGUUCAGGAGGGACCUUAACUGACAUUCAAACGAUGCGACAGAGGCGGAUCGUCCAAUCAGCGUGAUGGCUGACAGAACGUCGUAGAUCUUUACGAAGCUUCUGGUGGUUCAUUUAGGCCAAUGGGUCUGUUUCGCUGGUCACAGAAUCGUGUUUUGAUGCUUCAUAAUUGCAGACUAACUAAAAAAAGGAGAUCUGCCUAAACAGCAACUUUCUGCGUUGAAUAUUAACCGAGAUAUCGCGCCUUGAAAAACUCGCUUUACGACGUCUUCCAACACGAUAGUAUACAUACCAUGUUAUACACUACUGCGUUGGAUGACGUCAAAAACCCGACUUUUCAAAGGACGAUAUCUCGGUUAAUCAACGCAGAAAGUUGCCGUUCGAGCAGAUCUUCUUAUUUUCAGCUGAUCUACAAGAACCAAGCAUCAAAACACAAUUCUGUUGCCGGCGCAACUGGCCCAUUAGCUGAAAAUGGCAAUGGAUAAAUAGGGACGAUUCGGUUCAACACGGAAGAAAAUGAAUUGAGACUCUUAAAAUGCUAAAACUGGUUUCCAGGUCUUACCUGCUUUCCUAGAUGCAGGUGCAAUGUUGCUUUUAUGUCAAUGUCGCAGGCAAAUAAUCAAAUCAGGCAUUUUUAACAAAUGCCUGAGCAAAAAGUCAAUUUUUAGAGUGUGAGAGGUUUUGUAGGCUUCACACAGAUCUCUCGAAUCGCCAAAAUUUUGAGGGUAAAAAUACAUAAAAAAACAAACUACACAUCUUAAACCAUCCAAAUUGUAAGAAACUCAAUGCUUCACAGAAUUCUGCAUAUUUUGAGAUGAAUGUUCGUUUCAGGAUCAGAAAAAACUUCGUAUGAGGCAAAUUUUUACAGAGAAUUAUUUCCCACAUGAUUAAAGAAAUAUUUGGUCCGCGGUCAGCAAAAUAAACGGAAUUUCAGUUCAAGUCAGAAUAUUUAACCAUUUGCCUAGGAAAUGCCUGAUUUGACUAUUUACCUGUGACAUCAACAAUUAUAUUGGUCCCGGCAACUAUGUUACUGGACUCGAAAAACUAUAACGUCGCGACCAAACUAUUUUUUACUACAAUAAUAUUACUGCAUCUAUACGAUAGGAAAAGUAAGGCCGGUCUGGAAUUUACUAGGAGCAUUCUUUGAGCAACAAUUAUUUUUUCUCCGAGGACAAGCAGCUCAUACUUAGAAGGUAAUUUGUGGAUGCAAUAAAAAAAAAAAAAAAAAAAAAAAAAAAAAAAAACAUUGUUUUACUUUAACUCGUGUCCGAUUAAAUGAACAACUGCUGAUUUACUGAAUUUGCAUGUUGCUUAAGCAGAACGCUGCGGAAGUAGUAGCGUAAGGUUGUGUUUGGAGACUCAUAUAUUUUAUGGAGAUACGAGCGAAGAAAGAGUUGUGAGAAAACGUAAGCCCGGGGUGGUCAGGAAGAAUGAAUCUGCCUCUACUCUAUCUCUCUGGAAAUCGUUUAGACUUUGAAAUGAUAAAAGUUGAAUGAUUAAAGGGCACCGCACUGCUGUUUAAUUAGGAAAUUUUGAGCAUACUUCACUUAUGACCUUGAAGUAUAAAAAUUCUAUAGCUUCGAUCGAAAAAAAGGGGUAAAGAAUUCUCUUUCGUACAACUGAAAUGCCAAAUUUUUGAUCUGCAUGCCAAAAGGUUUCUCCCUCUAUUCUGUUCUCUGUAUUUCAUUAUAACUUAAGCUGUUUUAAUUAGUUCAAGUUUACUAUCUAUAAUUUUGGUUUCAAAUUAUUCAGUGGCAAACUAUAAAAAAGUACACGCUUGUUAGACUAUAGUCUCCAUAAAACACUUUCAUGUUGAAUAAAAUCAGUUCGGAAAAUUACUUGAUAGUUUUUGAAUAUCCGUUUAUUAGGUCUGAGUGUCAGUUGCAUAUAACUUAUGGCUCUGAAAUAAUUGUAUAAAUUUAUCAUUGAUUCUAAUUUCUACCGUUAAGAAAGAGAGAGGGGGAUGUCGAUCAGCAUCUUCCUGAUC
rnacentral:lncRNA from 1 species